GCUUGUCUCAAAGAUUAAGCCAUGCAUGUCUAAGUGUAAAUACGUCUACACUGUGAAACUGCGAAUGGCUCAUUAAAUCAGUUAUCGUUUAUUUGAUGAUCUCUUGUUACAUGGAUAACCGUAGUAAUUCUAGAGCUAAUACAUGCGUCAAGCCCCGACUCACGAAGGGGUGUAUUUAUUAGAUUCAAAACCAACCGUGUAAAAGCGUACCUUGGUGAAUCAUAGUAACUAAUCGGAUCGCAUGGGCUUUGCCCGCGACAAACCAUUCAAGUUUCUGCCCCAUCAGCUUUCGAUGGUAGUGUAUUGGACUACCAUGGCUAUUACGGGUAACGGAGGAUUAGGGUUCGAUUCCGGAGAGGGAGCCUGAGAAACGGCUACCACAUCUAAGGAAGGCAGCAGG
rnacentral:rRNA from 1 species